UUGCUUUACAGCGGUAGCCUGGAACCUAACCUCAUAUAUACGUGGGGCUCUCUGGUACUUGACAGUGUGAAUGUCUAUCCAAACCAUAACUCCUCCAUGUAUGCUUUGAAACUCAAAUUUUGAGUUUUUGCUCUUGUUGAAAAAUUACUUGACUGUAUAAUGUUAAUUAUAGAUGUUGUAGUUUGUAAGAUUUCAUAUUUUUUUCAGACAAGUUCGUACACGAGUGUAUGGAAGGCAACAGAGAAACGAGGCAUCUUCAUUUUUCUCGGUAACUGUUGCACUUUCCACAGUGUCAAGCAGCCAGCCAGCCAGCCACCUUUCAGGGGUAUUUGUCAAGGUUGGGAAGAGAGUUGAAGUUGUAAGGAACAGCACCUGGUACGAGGCCGUUAAAAAAUGUAGUACACACAGACAGCGGCCCUGACUGGGAAUCUGCUGGCAGUCAUUGAUGUCACAGCGAAAGGACAUUAAUAUAAAGUUGGCAAAGAUUGGAGACAAGAUUUGUACUACUCAAUGCAAUGUCAUCAUCGUAAGGUAUACACAACUUGUUGAAUGUGUAUAUAUAUAUGACUGGCAGGUGGAAAGAGUGUUUUUAUAAAUAGUGUCAUGAAAAGUUAAGUGAUUAUUCUGCAACUCAUAAUGUAUGUUUGAAGAUGCCAGUGUCUGCCAUCUUAAAACGUGUGAAGGAAAGAACAUGAGCGUACUCACGUAGGUUAGUUUUACCGUUCAUGUUGCAGUUGUACUAGUAAUAAACACUGCUUGAGUAAGAGAAGCGAGAAGCAAUGCUGGAGGAAAUGUACUCGAGUCCUAAAAUCCAGGAUUAAGAGUACUGUAGUUGUAUGAUUCUGGACUAAUAAUAUUGAGUCUUAGGACCCAGGAGUAAUACUAGUUGAAUAGUAGAUCCCAGAACUCAGAGGGGAAAACAUUUUCAUAAAUAGUUUAUUAAGUGAAUAUAAAUAAUUUAGUCUUUUAAUCCUAAGAUAGAUAGAAGUGAAACAAACAACAGAAUAAGAUAAGGUUUGUAUUUCAUCCUGUGAGACCUUGGUUAUACCUCUUAUUCCCAGGCUGUGUAAGAGUAUAGGUUUUAGGUUUC